rnacentral:rRNA from 1 species
GGGCGACGCCUGGGCCGGCGUGCUUACACAUGCAAGUCGAACGGGAUCCAGAACUUCGGUUCUGGUGAGAGUGGCGAACGGGUGAGUAACACGUGAGUAACCUGCCCCCUUCAUCGGGAUAACGUCGGGAAAUCGGCGCUAAUACCGAAUAUUCUGGUCUUGUCGCAUGGCGAGAUUUGGAAAGGAUUCUGGUGGGGGAUGGACUCGCGGCCUAUCAGCUAGUUGGCGGGGUAACGGCCCACCAAGGCAACGACGGGUAGCCGGCCUGAGAGGGUGACCGGCCACACUGGGACUGAGACACGGCCCAGACUCCUACGGGAGGCAGCAGUGGGGAAUAUUGCACAAUGGGCGAAAGCCUGAUGCAGCGACGCCGCGUGAGGGAUGACGGCCUUCGGGUUGUAAACCUCUUUCAGUAGGGAAGAAGCUUUCGAGUGACGGUACCUGCAGAAGAAGCACCGGCUAACUACGUGCCAGCAGCCGCGGUAAUACGUAGGGUGCAAGCGUUGUCCGGAAUUAUUGGGCGUAAAGAGCUCGUAGGCGGUUUGUCGCGUCUGCCGUGAAAUCCUUCGGCUUAACCGAAGGCGUGCGGUGGGUACGGACAGACUAGAGUGUGGUAGGGGAGACUGGAAUUCCUGGUGUAGCGGUGGAAUGCGCAGAUAUCAGGAGGAACACCGGUGGCGAAGGCGGGUCUCUGGGCCACUACUGACGCUGAGGAGCGAAAGCAUGGGGAGCGAACAGGAUUAGAUACCCUGGUAGUCCAUGCCGUAAACGGUGGGAACUAGGUGUGGGGUCCAUUCCACGGAUUCUGCGCCGAAGCUAACGCAUUAAGUUCCCCGCCUGGGGAGUACGGCCGCAAGGCUAAAACUCAAAUGAAUUGACGGAAGGGCG